GUAUUGUGGGGACCGCCUCCAUCGAGAGGCGUUGGGCAGUAGCCAGCAACGACGGCUUGCACGCGAGAUCUAGACCCCUUCGUGCAGACAUCCUUCAAGCCAGCCGUCACAGCAAGCCAAGCCAUUUUUUUGU
rnacentral:ncRNA from 2 species